AUGGGUUUCAUAAAAUUUAAGAAGAAACAUAAUGUACAUUUGGCAAAUUACUCAAAUAAUUUUUACGUUAUUUUUAAACGGUACAGUCCCACAUACUGUAACGUAAAAUGCUGUAUUCAAUGUUAUCUGUUUCCCUUCUUCAGAUGCGUCUGUGAUCAAUGUGAUGGAUACAUAUUGAUUGUUUCAUCUCUCUUGUACUCUCUCUUGCUCUACUUAUUUAUAUUUAUCAACCCCCCCCCCCCCCUCCAUACACACACUUACUAACACACAAACACACUGAAUAUUUUAUUGUUGCCAAUCUUAUUUCUCAUUGUCUCAUAAAUAAGAGACAAGUACAGUUUGGAUAUUUAAAAGCAUCAUACAUUCUGUUAAUCUUGUCAACAAAUUCGAAAGCAUCAGUUUACAUGUGCAUUAUAGCAUAAUCUCAUCUCCUGACUACUUUCAUAUUCUCUCGACUUCAGAAUGAACCGUAAAUCAGAAAAUACAGCAAAUGGACUGGAAUUAAUACAAGCUAGCUGUAGCAGAGAGCAGUUUCAUCUUAAUGACGAAUGAGCUCUAAAAUCAGCGUGAAUCAUCAGCCUGCAGGUGAUCAUACAUAUUCUCACUCACACAUUUAAUAAGCGCCACAAUUACCAUGCAACUCUAUAGCAGUAAUGGAGAUUGUGAAGUAGAUAUCCGUCGUAUAUCACUGUAUUUUAUGUAAUGAACACAAUGUUUCAUAAAUGAUGCUUCUGUAAGUGCUUAGUGUAAGUAUAAAUGAUCAUAUAUUCUCUGUGGUUAGUCGUUUAUUUUAGCAUUGGUAAUUAUUUAAAGGUUCUAUUAUCAUUUUAAUAAAUAAUAAUAUAUAGUUCAUAGCUCGCUUAUUCAUUUUUCCAUUGGGUAAGUUCAGUCUUUAGUAGUUGCUGCAGUCCACGCACCAUGAUAAUAAAACAGAUGUAAAUACUCUUACUGAGAUUGGAAAUCUAUGCUUCUUCUCUUGAAAAGCACAGGCAGCCUCCACUGCUGUGUGCACACUGUUUGUUUAGAGGCGAAUCCUGCCUACAGUAAAUAUGUGCCUACUUGGAGUAUGUUUACAUCAAACACUUCAAGCAAGAUUCAAGGGAUCAAGGAAAAAUAACCAUACAGACAACAUUCAAAUUAUACCAAAAACACUUUAUUUUAAUUAACUACAGUAGUUGUUUAUUGGUAUGCAUAUUACCAACAUAUUGUCUGUUUAUGAGUACUUAUAAAGCACAUAUUAAUGCCUUAUUCUGCAUGAUCGUAUUCUAGAUGCCUUCAUCCUACCUUAACAUAACUACUACCUUACUAUUAAUAAGCAGCAAAUUAGAAGUUUAUUACGGGAAAAGUCAUAGUUUAUAGUUAGUAAUAGUGAGAAUUGGUUCCCAAAUGCAAGUGUGACCAAAACAUCUUUAAAAACAAAGAUGUCAUAUUUAGGAUCUGAUGUAUUUCUUUUGUUUUAGGACAUACUGCUGUCAUAAUCAUAAUCUAUUCAUGAGUUUAGUUACUAAACUGGCAGUAAAAUACUGACACCUCAGUCUGCAGAAUAGAACAUGAACUAUACAAAUCUAUAACACUGUAAAACAGAUUUUACACAUUCAUAUGUGGGGGAAGCGUGGCCUAAUGGUUAGAGAGUUUGACUCCUAACCCUAAGGUUGUGGGUUCGAGUCUCGGGCCGGCAAUACCACGACUGAGGUGCCCUUGAGCAAGGCACCGAACCCCCAACUGCUCCCUGAGCGCCGCAGCAUAAAUGGCUGCCCACUGCUCCGGGUGUGUGUUCACGGUGUGUGUGUGUUCACUGCUGUGUGUGUGCACUUUGGAUGGGUUAAAUGCAGAGCACGAAUUCUGAGUAUGGGUCACCAUACUUGGCUGUAUGUCACGUCACUUUCACUUUCACUUUUUUUUCAUGUUUUAUAUUUGAAACUAUUAGUUUUUUUUUUUUUUUUGAUACAGUAAAAUCAGCAAUAUUCUAUCCUAAAAUAUUAUAAUAAUUUCAAAGACCUGCUUUCUAUUUUAAUGCAUUUUACAUUUAUUAUUAUUAUUAUUAUUAUUAUUAUUAUUAUUAUUAUUAUUAUUAUCAUCAUCAUCAUCUCUGAAUAAGCUGCAUUCACAUUACAUUCUGAUAUCUAGUGCACAGUUUUUAUCAGUAAUAAUUUAAAAUAACUGAGCACCAAAU
ensembl:lncRNA